rnacentral:lncRNA from 1 species
GCACUGAUCACAUCGGGCCACGGCCCCGCCCUUGCCACCUCCCGAUGCGUCACCCUGGGCUCUCUCUGUGGGCGCUGGGCGCCGGCUGCGUCCUGCUGUCCGUACCUUCCCCUGCGCGCCUGCCCCCGUGGGGGGCCACGUCAGGAAUGGGCAGGACAGACGUCCCUGAGCCGCACCACUAGGCCGCCCCACCGCUCUGAGGGCCUGACGCUUUCUUCUCCGGAAUCUCUCUGGCGCCUGGGCUGAGACGCUGGGCUUCGUCUCGCGCUGCCGUCUGGAGCCUCGUGAAGUUGUGGACCAGGAGUGGCCGCCUUGGCCGGCCCCGCCGCGGCCUUGACAACGACCGGCACCUGGGGGUGAUCCAGCAGCGCAGAAGGGAGUUCGGCACGCCCACAGCCACAGCUCGCAGACACGCACGAGCGCGGGUACUGAGGGCAGCCCCGCUGGCCCGCGCCCCCACACGGGCGCCUCACGGAGGCCCCUCUCCCCCCACCGAGGCCGUCAUGUCUCCGCUGGCCUCGGGUCUGACUCCCAGGCAACGGGCAGACUGGAGGCGUGUGCUCGGCGUCCGGAUCACGGUUGGGUCAGCGUCCACGAUGGCCCGGCGGCCAGAAGCUGGAGCCCACUGAGCGCCGCCCCCGACAACGACCUCGAGAGCCAGCAGCCCACCCGACACCCCCGAGAGCCCCCUGCCCCGUUCGCGGCCCGUAGCCCAGCAGGACACGGUGGGCAAGAGGGCCCUCCUGCUCCCUCCACCAUGGCCACUCCUGAGUCUCCCACGUUAUCCCAGCAAGAAGGUCAAGAAGGUCUGCAGGGGUGCCCGGCUGGCUCGGUCGGCGGAGCGAGUGACUCUGGACCUGCAGGGCGUGGGUUCAAGCCCCACGCCGGGCGCGGAGCCCGCGGAUACGAUACGAACGUGAGCGGGUGUGGCACGGAGUGUGGGCCCCGCCAGCCUCGCCCGCGCCUCUCUGCGCCUGCCCUGCUCCCCGCUCUCCACAGACCGCCCUUCCCGUCCUCACACCUGGGCUGGUCGCCUGGCUGGACACGUGAACCGUGGCUCCUACGUUUGCCUCUUCCAGACCCUGCUGUCAGGAGCCCAGUUCCCAGGAAAUGCAGUAAAGAGUCGAACCGGAGCUCAAAUGUGGAAAGAGAAAAAGAGAAAGAGGAAAAGCCUGCUUUGGAGGAUCCAGAAUAAUAUCCCCGAACUCCGUCAGUAACGGCACUAAGUCCCGAACCAAGCCAGCAGCAAAACCCGCAAUGCGGAACGCUGGCAGUCCGGGGUCAGACCAGACUGAGAUGCCGCGAACCGAGAAGCCGUGCGGGGCCCUUCCAAUAAAAACGUCGAGGACGUCA